CUGGACCUUGCUUUAAAAAAAAGUGAAGAUUCUUUAGAAUUUGUCUCGCUUUAUGUCCACCUGUCUGUCCAUCCCCAACUCUCCCUAGCCUCUUCCCUGUAUCUUCCUCCAUCAACCUCUUCCUUCCAACAAUUCAACCUUAUGUAGGAUUUGUUUGCUUUGUUACCCAGCAGGCAUUUCCACAUCCCCCUGCUUCCUUACUCACAACCCCCUAGGACAGGCCCACUACCUCUUUAGUGGACAAUUCAUCCUUCUCAACGAAGCCCCCGUUACUCCUACCGGCAACCUCCAAGACACGGGAGCCUCCCCUUCCACGGGUCAAGCUGUACCAUUUGCCCCAAGCUCCAACCUUCCAAUCACUUAGUCUGCCUACCCAACCUCUGUCCUCACUCACCUCAUGAUUCCUGUGCAGUCAUCUAGCAAGAUGCUUGGCAUGUACUAAGCAUUCAGCAAAUACCCGUUGAAUGAGAAAUGAGCUAAUGGACUUGUCUGCAAGCAAAUGAGGCCAUGACUGAAUCUAGAUGGCUGGGAAGGAGCAGCCUGGGCUCAGGACGAUCUGCUGUCUACUUCUAAAGUGGCUCACUCUUCUUCAGCAACUGGACAUUCUCAGUAGUGGGAUCAUCCCUGGAUUGUUUAAGAAUGUGUCUGUGUGUGGGAAGGGAAGGGUCGUUGUAAGCUGCGAAUGUUCAUUUGAAAACUAAGUGCGUGCUAGUCUUCCCUGGACGGACUUUAAAGGGAAUUUAUCCGUGCUUAAAAUCAGAUCGGUUGGGACAUGAAGUGUCCCACCAAAGAGAGAGAGAGAGAGAGAGAGAGAGAGAGAGAGAGAGAGAGAGAGAGAGAGAGAGAGAGAGAGAGAGAGAGAGAGACUUUGGCUCCCAGCUGCCAAUGCAAUUGAGAGAGGAUUGUGCUGUCAGUGGACUAAUCCACUGGGCUAGGAGGUGGGGCAUGGUUGGAAGAAGAACUAUCACAGGGCAAGGUAGAAGCACUUUGAAGGGUAAACCUUGCCCUAGCUCCUUCCUGUCUGCCUUUCUCUUCUUCCUGUCCACACAAUGUAAACAUAUUUUCUUUGCCCAGCCAUUUUACUGUAAUGUUUCUGCUUUGCCAUUUUACCACAAUGUCUCUGCUUUGCCACAGGCCGGAGAGCCACUGGGCUAGCCAAGCUUUAACAGCUGUGAGACUUUCUCUCAGAGUAUGUCCUGGUUGUAUCAUGAUACUUCAAGGCUUUCCCACACCCCUCACCCCCUCCACACACAUUCCCCCACCCCCAGGCUGUUCUGAGCUCUACAUCUUAGCAGGAACUCCCACACUCCUAGCCUUCUCCCUGCAGGGAUCAUAUAUCUUGCUUUGUUGUGUGAGCUUUCUGUUCUACUAUGGACAUUUGACUUCCUUAAGUAGACUACUCUCUUUCAGAGAGGAGAUUUUCAUCUUUGUUCUCCCCUCAAUUUCUUAUUUUUGAAUCUUAGCACAGUGUUUGCACUUAUUCAAAAAAAAAAAAGCAAAACCAAAAACAUCCACACACCCUGCUCCCCGACAGAUACA